CGAGAACCCAACUCGACGGGGGGAAACUACCGUUCAUUCGCUAAGAAUUUGCUCAAAAUCCGUUCAAGGUUAUCUCCGCAAGUAAGGUCUGAGUAAGAGAUUCAAGUAAGGAAAGUAAGCGAUCAAGGUUGAGCAGCGAAGUGGUGGAGG